UUUCCUCGAUCUAGCUUCGUAUUUGAAUCUUCCGGAUCUAAAUAAAUAAAUUUAGUUAUCAAUUUAAUACAUUUCAUGUUCAUAUGCAACAUUCUUUAUAAUUCAACUAUUAUUUAUAGUUCAUUCAAAGCUGUCUACUUGAGUCAUAGUCACUAAAUUAUUUAUAACUUGAGUUAUAGAACUCCAAAUUAAGAUCCGUUAAUUUUCCAUAAAACUAGACUCAUAUAUACUUUUACCAUAAAAUUUUCAGAAUUUUUGGUUUAUCCAAUAAGUACAUUUUAUUCUUUAAAGUCACCCCUGUUCUGCUGUCGACAGUUCUGACCCUUCUUCACUAAAAAUUAAUUAUCUCUUCAUACAGAAUUCAAAUAAUGUUCUCGUUUGUUUUUCUUAAAAAUAGACUCAUUAAGGAUUCUAGACAUAUAAAUUUAAGCCCAUAAAUUUUUUUAUUCAAUUUUUUAUGAUUUUUCAAAGUCAUAACAGGGGAACCCAAAUUCAUUCUGACCUUGUCUCACAAAAUUCAUUAUAUCUCAAAAUUUACAAAUCCAUUGCUUACACUAUUUCUUCUAUGAGAAACUAAACUCAAUAAGCUUUAAUUCCAUAUUUUUUUAAUCUUCUAAUUAGAUUUCUACAAUUUAUGGUGAUUUUUCAAAUUUAGUCUACUGCUGCUGUCCAAACUAUUUUUGUGCAAGCUGUUUAUUACCAUUUUUCCCCUAAGUUUUUAAUAAAUGAUAAUUUCGUCCCUUCUCAAUUAGCCUCUCAAUUGAGCUGAUUUUUCUCAAUUAACAUUUUAUUCUAUCACCUUAAACUAGUUUACAACCUUUAGGAAUCAGAAUUUCAGCAAUAGACUUUAAUUCCAAGCAUUUUCACAAUUAGAUCCUAAAAAUCAAUUUCUAUUGAAAUUACCUAAUAAAAUCAUCUCAUAAACAAAUUAAAGCUUUAAUUUAAUUCUAUUUCAUCAUAAAAUUACAGCACUAAACCAUGGUGACUUUCAAUUUCAUCCAUGAAAUCAAAAACUAAUGAAUUUAAUAGUAGGACUUAGUUGUAAAAGUCUUAGAAACACAAAAAUUACAAGAAAAAGGCAAGGAUUAACUCACUUGGUGCAAAAAUUAUGAAAUAUCAGCAUAUAGAACCCUCUUAUGGCGUUUUUAGCUGCUGAAAUUGAAGAGAAAUCUAAAUAUUUCCUAUUUAGUCCUAGCUUUAUUUAGUUAAUUUUGCAAUAUUCUAAUUUUACCCUUAAUUUAUCAAUUUUUCUGCUGAUUUCAUACCCUUACCGUCCAGCCCAAAUAACUUUUGGGUCUAAUUGCCUUUUAAAUCCUUUCUCAUUAGACUAUUAAGCUAUUUAAUCACUCUAACAACUUUUACACCUAUUACAAUUUAGUCUUUUUCAUUUAAUUGACUACCCAAACAUUAAAAUUUCCUAACGAAAUUUUAAUACCACAUUAAUAACAUUUCAUAAAUAUUUAUAAAAUUAUUUUUGACUCAGUUUUACGAGAUAGAGGUCUCGAUACCUUGUUUUUACCCAAUUUCUUCAAUAAUUUCUUUUUCUAUCUAAUCACUAAAUUGGUAAAAUUUUUCUAUUAAUAUUUUUAUACGAUUUUCCUAUCAUAUCAAUUUUCAAGCAAAAAUAUUGAAAUAAAUUUCUCUGUAAAUCGAAUUUGGGGUUACGAAACUACUGUUCUGAUAAUUUUAAAUUUAGGCCAUUACAACACAGCCGACCACACGCUCGUGUGCCAGCUCGUGUGCCACACACGACCAGUAAACACGCCCGUGUGUCUAGGCCGUGUCAAAAUUAAAGGGUAUACUGACUUUAAUUCGUAGGGUAUCCCAGGGGACACACGGCCGUGUAACAUGACCGUGUGUCGCACACAGCUGAGACACACGCCCGUGUAGACAAAAAUUGGCCAUUUGAAUAACCAAUUUGCCACCCUAAUUUGGGUCAACCUACAAGCACCAAACCAAGCAUAUACCAAACCAUACAUAAUUCAUGCUAUAACAUUACCAAUCAUUUCAAAUCUCAAUUCAUCAAUCAAUUCAUACCAAAACUUAAACUAAAAUCACACCUAAACAUAUGAUCAAUACAUCAUUCAAUCAAAUGCUCAAAACUUACCAAAACUUCUCAACAUUGACCAUUUCUUUUGGCCAACCAAAACAUACCACAUUUGUAUCGCAUAUCAUAUACCAUUAUCAAACUAUAAGUUCAAACACAAACUAGCUGUACAGGCCCAAAUCUGCCCGGGCCCGUAUGAAAACAAAAACAGAAAAUCAAAACCAAAAUAAUAAAUAAACAAAAAAUCCAAAUAGUAACAGUCCAUUAAAUGUCCAAUUACAUAACAAAACCCAAAACCAUGAUGGCCCAAUAGGCCCAAUGCCUAAACCAAAUCUUAGCCAAGGCUAACCUUAGCCUAAAAACCAAAAACCAAGGCAGAAACCCUAGCCUUUGCUUAGCGCCGCAGCCUCCAGGCGCCGUACGACCACCAGCAGCCUCCGUACGCCCCACGUCGAGUGCCACAUACCCCCACAGCUGGCCCUGUACCUCCGCACCUGCAAACAAAUAAGAGAACGACAGCAGCAAAUACGAAAAGAAAAGAAAAUUGUAUUUUUAUUUUUAUUUUUUCUGGGUUUCAGCUAUAAAGCCAGAGGCAAGGUAUUGAUCUUUUUUUUACGCACAUUGAAAUACAGAUACGAAGCAAAAAAACUAGAAAUUAUUAAGAGGUGAUUUCGAAUGCCUUAUGUUCUUUGUUUUUCUUUUCUGAAAUUGGUUUCAUCUUCAAAUCUUGCCUUUCUUUUUCUUUUUGCAAAAAAGGAGAUAAAAGCGAAACUCGCCUUCGUGUACGAGCCAUUGAAGCCCAUCUCCUUCAUCAGCAUCGAAGUUUGAGAGAUGAUUUCGAGGCUGAAAUCGACGAACUUUAACACUAGAGUCUAAAUGAGAGAGUAAGGGGCAUCACCGAAGGUCAUCGUUCAUCGUCGUAGUGAUGAAAUGGUGGCUAAACGGCGCAGAACCUUUAGGGUUCCCCUUUCCCCAUUAAUUCGACCGAAAUAACUAGGUUUUUCAGAGGCUUUGUCCUCUUUUAAUUGGUGACGCGAAACGGUGCCGUUUAAGGCAUGAUUUGUAGCCUUAAAACGACACCGUUUAAAGAGCCCCGACCUGAUCCGUUCCCGAGUACCCUCAGAACCCGCGUGUUUUUGCGGUGAAGGGUUAUUUUCAAGAUUGGUCCUUCCCUUCCGCAUUGGCAUUCAAUUAGGCUUUAUUUGUAUUUUUUUGUUUUUUUAAUUGAUCUCUGUAAUUUGCGCACAAAUGCAAUUUGAUCCACGCCUCAACACUGUGUUUUGGGGUCUGGAUUAUUUCCAAAUUUGGUCCCUGUGCAUUCGCACAUGUUGCACGCUGGUCCCUUUUUAUUUUAAUAGUUCAUUUCAUUUAUAAUUGGUCCCUUCCAUUUUUAUUCUAUUUUAAUUGAGUUUCCUUUUUAUUUAUUUUAUGGUUCAUUAUUAUUUUUUAAGAUACAUUCAACAUUUUUUAAUCCUUG
rnacentral:lncRNA from 1 species